rnacentral:rRNA from 1 species
UUGGAGGGCAAGUCUGGUGCCAGCAGCCGCGGUAAUUCCAGCUCCAAUAGCGUAUAUUAAAGUUGUUGCAGUUAAAAAGCUCGUAGUUGAAUUUCGGGAUCAAUGUUUCGGUCAUGCCGUUGGUAUGUACUGAUAUUAUUGGUUUCUCACCUUCUAAAGAACCGUAAUGCCAUUAAUUUGGUGUCACGGGGAAUUAGGACUGUUACCUUGAAAAAAUUAGAGUGUUUAAAGCAGGCUCACGCUUGAAUACAUUAGCAUGGAAUAAUGAAAUAGGACAUCCGAUUCUAUUUUGUUGGUUUCUAGGAUCGAUGUAAUGAUUAAUAGGGAUAGUUGGGGGCAUUAGUAUUCAAUUGUCAGAGGUGAAAUUCUUGGAUUUAUUGAAGACUAACUACUGCGAAAGCAUUUGCCAAGGAUGUUUUCAUUAAUCAAGAACGAAAGUUAGGGGAUCGAAGACGAUCAGAUACUGUCGUAGUCUUAACCAUAAACUAUGCCAACUAGGGAUCGGAUGAUGUUAAUUUUUUAAUGACUCAUUCGGCGCCUUACGGGAAAC